ACGCGAAACGCCCCUCGGGCGACCGGGGGACGUCGUCUCGGCGUGGUGGCCGGGGCCUGAUGAGCAGCUGGAG
rnacentral:hammerhead_ribozyme from 1 species